rnacentral:rRNA from 1 species
AUUGAACGCUGGCGGCAUGCCUUACACAUGCAAGUCGAACGGUAACAGGUCUUCGGAUGCUGACGAGUGGCGAACGGGUGAGUAAUACAUCGGAACGUGCCCGAGAGUGGGGGAUAACGAGGCGAAAGCUUUGCUAAUACCGCAUACGAUCUCAGGAUGAAAGCAGGGGACCGCAAGGCCUUGCGCUCACGGAGCGGCCGAUGGAAGAUUAGGUAGUUGGUGGGAUAAAAGCUUACCAAGCCGACGAUCUGUAGCUGGUCUGAGAGGACGACCAGCCACACUGGGACUGAGACACGGCCCAGAAUCCUACGGGAGGCAGCAGUGGGGAAUUUUGGACAAUGGGCGCAAGCCUGAUCCAGCCAUGCCGCGUGCAGGAUGAAGGCCUUCGGGUUGUAAACUGCUUUUGUACGGAACGAAAAGACUCCUUCUAAUAAAGGGGGUCCAUGACGGUACCGUAAGAAUAAGCACCGGCUAACUACGUGCCAGCCGCCGCCGUAAUAC